AUUGAACGCUGGCGGCAGGCCUAACACAUGCAAGUCGAACGAGUGGCGGACGGGUGAGUAAUGUCUGGGAAACUGCCCGAUGGAGGGGGAUAACUACUGGAAACGGUAGCUAAUACCGCAUACCAUCGGAUGUGCCCAGAUGGGAUUAGCUAGUUGGUGGGGUAACGGCUCACCUAGGCGACGAUCCCUAGCUGGUCUGAGAGGAUGACCAGCCACACUGGAACUGAGACACGGUCCAGAAUCCUACGGGAGGCAGCAGUGGGGAAGAUUGCACAAUGGGCGCAAGCCUGAGGCAGCAAUGCCGCGUGUAUGAAGAAGGCCUUCGGGUUGUAAAGUACUUUCAGCGAGGAGGCGUUACCCGCAGAAGAAGCACCGGCUAACUCCGUGCCAGCAGCCGCGGUAAUAC
rnacentral:rRNA from 1 species